AGAGACAACAGAUUUACAUCCCAGACACAUUCACACUGGGCAAAGAGCAGCUGCCAUUGCAGAUUUGAGUCACGUCCUUUUUUCCCUCCUUCUCCUUCUUGGAGUUACAGCAGAAGCUGGGGAGGUGAGAGUGCAGAAAGGACAUGGAUGAAGCAGAGAGGCAUGUGCCUGUCUCAUUCGCCUCUGGAUCUGCUGCAUCCAGGACCAUGUCAGCACAAAGUGGGAGCCCGAUAAAUAUUUAUUGAAGAAAUGAAAGGUGACAAAAGGCAGAAGGAGGGAGACCCCCAAAAGAGCUCCCCAUCCAUCCUGCUGAGAGCCACCUCCACCACUCAAUGAAACCCCUGCAUUCAUCCUUCAAGUUUAUGUGUGGCCUGAUUCUUCCUGGACACUGGACAAAGACCUAGGUCCGGUGAACUGUCUAACAUUUAAGUCAUCCAUGGACAGCAAGGCUAACAGAACGCUGUAACAUGUGCCCACUUGGAACCUAUGCCCCUGUCACACAUCAUGGGACAGGGGUCAGGGAACUCUCCCAUUUCACUUUCAAAUAUUCCAGGUCCCCUUUUUGUUUGGGAGCCAGAGUCUAGUGGAGACAGAGAUAGAAAGCCUGAAAUAGGAUCCAGGCAAUAUAAACCUACAUGCUGUAAGCCAA
rnacentral:lncRNA from 1 species